rnacentral:rRNA from 1 species
CCUACGGGAGGCAGCAGUGAGGAAUAUUGGUCAAUGGACGAGAGUCUGAACCAGCCAAGUAGCGUGAAGGAUGACUGCCCUAUGGGUUGUAAACUUCUUUUAUAUGGGAAUAAAGUGUUCCACGUGUGGGCUUUUGUAUGUACCAUAUGAAUAAGCAUCGGCUAACUCCGUGCCAGCAGCCGCGGUAAUACGGAGGAUCCGAGCGUUAUCCGGAUUUAUUGGGUUUAAAGGGAGCGUAGGUGGAUUGUUAAGUCAGUUGUGAAAGUUUGCGGCUCAACCGUAAAAUUGCAGUUGAAACUGGCAGUCUUGAGUACAGUAGAGGUGGGCGGAAUUCGUGGUGUAGCGGUGAAAUGCUUAGAUAUCACGAAGAACUCCGAUUGCGAAGGCAGCUCACUGGACUGCAACUGACACUGAGGCUCGAAAGUGUGGGUAUCAAACAGGAUUAGAUACCCCUGUAGUC